UCAGACAUGGUGUACGGAACAUUGCCUUCUAAAUUGAACUCUGUGGAAACGGCAUUGAUGAGGCAGUCCGGGGUUCGACUCCCUGUGUCUGAA